rnacentral:rRNA from 1 species
ACGAACGCUGGCGGCGUGCCUAACACAUGCAAGUCGAGCGAGGAGAUCCUUCGGGAUGAUCCUAGCGGCGGACGGGUGAGUAACACGUGGGCAACCUGCCUCAUAGAGAGGAAUAGCCUUCCGAAAGGGAGAUUAAUACCUCAUAACAUUGCAGUUUCGCAUGAAACAGCAAUUAAAGGAGCAAUCCGCUAUGAGAUGGGCCCGCGGCGCAUUAGCUAGUUGGUGAGGUAACGGCUCACCAAGGCGACGAUGCGUAGCCGACCUGAGAGGGUGAUCGGCCACAUUGGGACUGAGACACGGCCCAGACUCCUACGGGAGGCAGCAGUGGGGAAUAUUGCACAAUGGGGGAAACCCUGAUGCAAGCAACGCCGCGUGAGUGAUGACGGCCUUCGGGUUGUAAAGCUCUGUCUUCAGGGACGAUAAUGACGGUACCUGAGGAGGAAGCCACGGCUAACUACGUGCCAGCCGCAGC